GAUCAUGGCUCAGGAUGAACGCUAGCUACAGGCUUAACACAUGCAAGUCGAGGGGCAGCAUGGUCUUAGCUUGCUAAGGCCGAUGGCGACCGGCGCACGGGCGAGUAACGCGUAUCCAACCUGCCUUACACUCUUGGACAGCCUUCUGAAAGGGAGAUUAAUACAAGAUGUUAUCAUGAGUAAGCAUUUUCGCAUGAUUAAAGGUUUACCGGUGUAAGAUGGGGAUGUGUU
rnacentral:rRNA from 1 species